GGUGAAAAGCACCCCGGAAGGGGAGUGAAAUAGAACCUGAAACCGUGUGCUUACAAGUAGUCAGAGCCCGUUAAUGGGUGAUGGCGUGCCUUUUGUAGAAUGAACCGGCGAGUUACGAUUUGAUGCAAGGUUAAGCAGUAAAUGUGGAGCCGUAGCGAAAGCGAGUCUGAAUAGGGCGUUUAGUAUUUGGUCGUAGACCCGAAACCAGGUGAUCUACCCUUGGUCAGGUUGAAGUUCAGGUAACACUGAAUGGAGGACCGAACCGACUUACGUUGAAAAGUGAGCGGAUGAACUGAGGGUAGCGGAGAAAUUCCAAUCGAACCUGGAGAUAGCUGGUUCUCUCCGAAAUAGCUUUAGGGCUAGCCUCAAGUGAUGAUUAUUGGAGGUAGAGCACUGUUUGGACGAGGGGCCCCUCUCGGGUUACCGAAUUCAGACAAACUCCGAAUGCCAAUUAAUUUAACUUGGGAGUCAGAACAUGGGUGAUAAGGUCCGUGUUCGAAAGGGAAACAGCCCAGACCACCAGCUAAGGUCCCAAAAUAUAUGUUAAGUGGAAAAGGAUGUGGCGUUGCCCAGACAACUAGGAUGUUGGCUUAGAAGCAGCCAUCAUUUAAAGAGUGCGUAAUAGCUCACUAGUCGAGUGACACUGCGCCGAAAAUGUACCGGGGCUAAACAUAUUACCGAAGCUGUGGAUUGUCCUUUGGACAAUGGUAGGAGAGCGUUCUAAGGGCGUUGAAGCAUGAUCGUAAGGACAUGUGGAGCGCUUAGAAGUGAGAAUGCCGGUGUGAGUAGCGAAAGACGGGUGAGAAUCCCGUCCACCGAUU
rnacentral:rRNA from 1 species